rnacentral:rRNA from 1 species
GACAGGUGGUGCAUGGUUGUCGUCAGCUCGUGUCGUGAGAUGUUGGGUUAAGUCCCGCAACGAGCGCAACCCUUAAGCUUAGUUGCCAUCAUUAAGUUGGGCACUCUAAGUUGACUGCCGGUGACAAACCGGAGGAAGGUGGGGAUGACGUCAAAUCAUCAUGCCCCUUAUGAUUUGGGCUACACACGUGCUACAAUGGACAAUACAAAGGGUAGCGAAACCGCGAGGUCAAGCAAAUCCCAUAAAGUUGUUCUCAGUUCGGAUUGUAGUCUGCAACUCGACUACAUGAAGCUGGAAUCGCUAGUAAUCGUAGAUCAGCAUGCUACGGUGAAUACGUUCCCGGGUCUUGUACACACCGCCCGUCACACCACGAGAGUUUGUAACACCCGAAGCCGGUGGAGUAACCUUUUGGAGCUAGCCGUCGAAGGUGGGACAAAUGAUUGGGGUGAAGUCGUAACAAGGUAGCCGUAUCGGAAGGUGCGGCUGGAUCACCUCCUUUCUAAGGA